rnacentral:rRNA from 1 species
UGGUUGAUCCUGCCAGAGGUCACUGCUAUCGGUGUUCGAUWAAGCCAUGCGAGUCGAGAGGUGUUAUGGCCUCGGCGUACUGCUCAGUAACACGUGGAUAACCUGCCCAAAAGUCCGGGAUAACCCCGGGAAACUGGGGAUAAUACCGGAUAGGCCAUCUUUUCUGGAAUGGAUGGGUGGUUUAAAUUUCAGGGGCUUUUGGAUGGGUCUGCGGCUGAUUAGGUUGAUGCCGGUGUAACGUACCGGCAUGCCUGUAAUCAGUACGGGUUGUGGGAGCAAGAGCCCGGAGAUGGAUUCUGAGACACGAAUCCAGGCCCUACGGGGCGCAGCAGGCGCGAAAACUUUACAAUGCAGGCAACUGCGAUAAGGGGACAUCGAGUGGCACGCAGUUUGUGUGUCUGUCCAUCCGUCUAAAAAACGGGUGUCAGCAAGGGCCGGGCAAGACCGGUGCCAGCCGCCGCGGUAAUACCGGCGGCUCGAGUGGUGGCCGAUAUUAUUGAGUCUAAAGGGUCCGUAGCCGGCUUAAUAAGUCUUUUGGGAAAUCCAGCGGCUUAAUCGUUGGGCGUCCAUGAGAUACUGUUUUGCUUGGGACUGGGAGAGGUAGGAGGUACUCAAGGGGUAGGAGUGAAAUCCUGUAAUCCUUUGGGGACCACCAGUGGCGAAGGCUGUCUGCUAGAACGCGCCCGACGGUGAGGGAUGAAAGCUGGGGGAGCGAACCGGAUUAGACACCCGGGUAGUCCCAGCUGUAAACGAUGCAGGCUAGGUGUUUGGGCGGCCACGCGCCACUCUAGUGCCGCAGGGAAGCUGUUAAGCCUGCCGCCUGGGGAGUACGGCCGCAAGGCUGAAACUUAAAGGAAUUGGCGGGG